GGGAGCCGAGGGGCUAGGAGAGGGGCCUGGGCAAAGCGAGGCGAGGCAAGGCGGUGGGAGGUUGCGGGGCGGGACCCCAGGCUAGUCCGGCUGGGAGAGCGCAAGCCUAGAAAGGAAGAAACCAUGACGCGGGGGAAAACUGAAAACUAUGGGUGGAAUGGCUUUCCAGGGUCCCUCCAGCCUUGAGCGUUGAGCUUGGAAGGUAGUGAGUCCCGUUUCUGGGAAGACUGCCGCUCAGAGAGCUAGAUGGCCCGGACCCACGCAGCUCUGAGUCAGGGCAGAAAUGUGGGAAAGCUCCGCCGCGGCGAGGUGUCAUUGGGAGCAGUUUGUCUCGUAGCCUUGUGACCCAGCUUGUCUUGUUCCAAAUGUUGUGAGGACUACCUGAGACUGUGCCUGCCAACAUCUGGACCCGGAAGGACAAGAGGAUCUGAUACCAGAGAGCGGGGACGGAGGGGAGCGGCAGUCGAGCUCCAGGCUCCGCCACCCUCCUCCACAGGUCGGUCCACUCAGGCCUCGCAGCCUCUGCGGAGGAAACGUACCCGGCCGACUUCCACUGAUGACCCGGGCCUUCCGGGAAGCAUCUGCGCCGCGCUCCGUCACUGCCCCGGCCUCCGUGGGCAGGAAGCCCCGCGUCUGUGUCACCUCCGUCUCCGGCAGCAGGGGCCCGCGUGGCCGAAGGGCCUCAGUGAGGUCAGCCCGCUGGUGCUGCGCAGAUCGCUUGCGUUGUUUUCCUCUUGCAAAGUGGAAAUUGCUUUCCUUAUUAUAAAUAUAAGUGCAGACGUGUGGGUUUUCAAAAACAUCACACAAAUGCAGGAAAGCCUAAAGAAAAAGCCCACUUCACCUCUGAUCCCACCACCCAUGAAACACAGAUGCAAGCACUUUUUUUUUUUUCCUCCAGAAAGGAAACCAAGCCUGGCCUUGUGGUGCACCCUGUGAUCCCCGUGCUCUGGAGGCUGAGGCAGGAAGACCUCAGAGUUUGAAGUCAGUCCGGAAUAUAGCAAGACAAUGUCUCCAAAAAACAAAAAAAAAUAAAAGAAAAUUAAAAGAAAAGAAACCAAAUGAACAUACUGUUGGAAUCGGAUUUAUUUUGAGGCAGAGACUUGCGUUACCCAGGCUGGCCUUAAACUCUCGGAUAUCCUCCUGCUUCAGCUUCCUGAAUGCUGAGAUUACAGGUGAGCACCGUCAUGCCCAGGGGCUGUUGUCAUGAUUGAUUUGCAUUUCCUAGAAGUUUAUAUAAAUGGAAUUGAACCUAUUUUUGAUCUGGCUUCUUUUCCUAAUCACAAUUAACUUCAUUUAGUUCAUACGCACACACCCGCUGCCCAUGCUGGACAUUUAGCGCUGGUCUGUGGCCCGCUGCUCUGAAGAUUAACGUACAAAUUCUGUGUGUUCUUAUUUCUUCUGGCUCCACCUUGCAGAAUGUGAUGGCUGGGUCAUAAGGGAAGUGUGUUCAGCUUUUUGAGAAACUACCACAUUUUUCCAAAGUUGUUUUUUCACCAGUGGCC
ensembl:lincRNA